rnacentral:lncRNA from 1 species
GGGUGCUGGGUGCUGGGUGCUGGGUGCUGGGUCGGGGGCAUAGCUCGCCUCCCAGGGGGAGGCCGUGGGCCCCAUCCUCAGCACCAGAGAGGCCAGAAACAGAGCCAAAAGCCCUGCAGGGAGCUCCACCUCGACCUGUUAGGACCCCAGGGGGACAGAGGGGGUGACAGGCUGCCCCACGCACUGGGCUGGGAGCGUAAAAUGGCGGGACCUUAAAACAUCAAGAAUAGGAUCGCCAUGUGAUGCGGCGCUUGUCCUUGUGGAAGCCUCGGAGAGAGAUGGCGCACUCGCUGGGCAGCUGCGUCAUUCCUGAUGGCCAGGACGUGAGGCGCCGCGGUGACCCUGAACACACGGACACACAGAAUCAGUGCGCGCCACAGAGUGUGUUCAUUCACCAAAGGAGGGGACUGACACCCGCUCUAGCGCGCAUGGGGACAUUGUGCUAAGUGAAAGGAGCCCGUCACAAACGACCAGUGUGGCAGGGUCCUCCUCUGCCAGGGACUAGAGUGGCAAAGUCAGAGAGAAGGCAGAGAGGUGGCCGCCAGGAGCUGGAGGGAGAUGGCAGGGCUAGUGCUCAGGGGACAGAGCGUCAGCUUUGCAGGGCAAACAGUUCCACGGAUGGGCGGGCGGCGAGGUGGAGGCACCGCGACGAGACUGUACUUACUGCUGCUGUUACACUCGCGGCGGUGGGCACUGAGCUCCACCGCGAUCCCAGGGACUCAGGAGGCUGGGGCAGGAGGAUCGCAAGAUUGAGGCCAGUCUUGGCAGCUUAGUGAGACCCUGCUGCAAAAUAAAUUUUAAAAGAUUCACGAUGUAGUUCAGAGGUAGAGUGAUCCGGGACCGAAAAAAGGAAAGAAAAAGUUAAGACGAUAGGUUCUAUGUUAGGUGCAUUUUUCUACAAUUAAAAAAAAGAAUCCUUCAGUUCUCUCAAGUCCUGACAGCGGGCCUUCUUUAAAGUGGCAUUUGUGGGGGAUGGAAUGCUAGGUGGCAGGUGACAUUAGAGCAAUUAGGGGUGACAGAUUCUGGUAUUCCUGGGCAAGGGACCUUGCCAUUUUGAGCCUCAGUUUCCCCUGGUGACAUGAGGACAAUGAGGUGUCCUCCUCCUGGGGCCAGCAGGACAGGUCUGUGCUUCCUGCUCGGUGCUCCCCCAGCAGCUGGCCCAGGCAGCACGUGCCACCUAGAGCCCCGAGCCCUGGCCACCCAGAGCCCCGAGUCCUGGUGACCUAGAGCCCUGAGUCCUGGUGACCUAGAGCCCUGAGUCCUGGCCACCCAGAGCCCUGAGUCCUGGCGGGUGUUGUGGGUCCUUUGGGAUUUGGGAACGUGAGGCCCUAGGUAAAGGGGAGGAGAGCCCUCGCUUCACCAGCACAGGGAAUAGAGGCCAGGGGAGUCUAGAGACCUGCCCAGGACCUCAGCGUUCCCUGAACUGAACCAGGAGUCUCCUACAGCCAGGCUGCUCCCUGGGCACAGGUCCCGCUGGCUUGCCUGGACGUGAGGAGUGUCCCCGGGGCAGGCAGCACCUGCCCGCUGCCUCCUCCCAUAGUCACAGGUCCAGGGACGGCAGGACUCCCAAGUCACCGGUGGCAUUUGAGACAUCUGCGCCUUCACUUAUUUUUAAGGAAAUGCAAACCAAAGCAGCUGAUGUGCUGGGUGCUGGGUGCUGGGUGCUGGGUCGGGGGCAUAGCUCGCCUCCCAGGGGGAGGCCGUGGGCCCCAUCCUCAGCACCAGAGAGGCCAGAAACAGAGCCAAAAGCCCUGCAGGGAGCUCCACCUUGACCUGUUAGGACCCCAGGGGGACAGAGGGGGUGACAGGCUGCCCCACGCACUGGGCUGGGAGCGUAAAAUGGCGGGACCUUAAAACAUCAAGAAUAGGAUCGCCAUGUGAUGCGGCGCUUGUCCUUGUGGAAGCCUCGGAGAGAGAUGGCGCACUCGCUGGGCAGCUGCGUCAUUCCUGAUGGCCAGGACGUGAGGCGCCGCGGUGACCCUGAACACACGGACACACAGAAUCAGUGCGCGCCACAGAGUGUGUUCAUUCACCAAAGGAGGGGACUGACACCCGCUCUAGCGCGCAUGGGGACAUUGUGCUAAGUGAAAGGAGCCCGUCACAAACGACCAGUGUGGCAGGGUCCUCCUCUGCCAGGGACUAGAGUGGCAAAGUCAGAGAGAAGGCAGAGAGGUGGCCGCCAGGAGCCGGAGGGAGAUGGCAGGGCUAGUGCUCAGGGGACAGAGCGUCAGCUUUGCAGGGCGAACAGUUCCACGGAUGGGCGGGCGGCGAGGUGGAGGCACCGCGACGAGCUCCACCGCGAUCCCAGGGACUCAGGAGGCUGGGGCAGGAGGAUCGCAAGAUUGAGGCCAGUCUUGGCAGCUUAGUGAGACCCUGCUGCAAAAUAAAUUUUAAAAGAUUCACGAUGUAGUUCAGAGGUAGAGUGCUCCGGGACCGAAAAAAGGAAAGAAAAAGUUAAGACGAUAGGUUCUAUGUUAGGUGCAUUUUUCUACAAUUAAAAAAAAGAAUCCUUCAGUUCUCUCAAGUCCUGACAGCGGGCCUUCUUUAAAGUGGCAUUUGUGGGGGAUGGAAUGCUAGGUGGCAGGUGACAUUAGAGCAAUUAGGGGUGACAGAUUCUGGUAUUCCUGGGCAAGGGACCUUGCCAUUUUGAGCCUCAGUUUCCCCUGGUGACAUGAGGACAAUGAGGUGUCCUCCUCCUGGGGCCAGCAGCACAGGUCUGCACUUCCUCAAAAAGAAGAGAAGCCGCAGAAGUCUAAAAACCCACCCAGGACCUCAGAGUCCCCAGGACCAGGGCCAGCCCUCGGCCGUGCCUGCGUCUGUAUCUGUCAGCAAGGGCAGUGUGCUGCAGUGACAAAGGAGCCCUAUGCUGAAGUGCCAAGUAAAGAAAAGUGUGUUUUGCCAACAGCGAAAGCUUCUGAGUCCAGGUGACGCUGCAGGGCACUUGCCCUCCACGGGAAGACUUGGGGAUCCAGGCCCCUGCACCUGUGGGCCUCCACCUCCUGACCUCCGAGGCAGGGCACGCAGCAUCAUGUCACUUCAUCCCACAGUGCCCCGACAGCACUGUCACAUGGCCUUACCCCAUGGCACAGGUGGCGGGUCCCAGAAAGGAGCAGAGCUGGUUGUGGUGACUUCCACAAGUUGCCACUCGCAUGAGGGUGCACAGGUGGCCCCUUUUGAAAUACAAACCAAGGCUUUCUGUUCCUCUCUGUCCUCGAAGUGUCCGGGAAGGCCCAGCAGCCCUGCGUUUCCAGCAGCCUCCCGCUGUCCCCUGUGUCUUCACGUGCAGGGAAAUGGCCCCUCUGGGUGGGCAUCAGGCUCCUCUGCUCCAGUGGGCAAGCCACCGCCUUCCCCUGUAGCUUCCUGUGUCACUGUGCGGAGGUCUCCAAGGGACAAACGCCUCUGGCCACAGGACGGGAUGCUAAGGAGAGCCGCUGGUGGGCCCGGAACUGGACUGCAGGUGAGCUGUCUGUCCCAGGGGUUUAAUGGGACACUGGGGAGGAGCAGCAGGGACCAGGACGACUGUUGGCUUCCCUGUGCCCAACGACCCGCCUGUACCCUUGUCCUGUGUGGUUUCCCAUCUUCUCGUCUCCCCGAGAGCAUCUCAGUGCCAACAGUUCUGUCUUGUCCACUUAAAAUUUCUCUUUCCGGCCUGGGGCUGGGGCUCGGUGGUAGCGCACUUGCCUGGCAUGUGUGAGGCACGGGUUCAAG